ACGGAUUUCAUAUCACACACGAAGUCAUUGAACAGUUACGACUGGCACGUUUGCAAUUGUACUAGCAGGGAUGAACUGUAUGACCAUCCUCGGCCAACUGGUUCCCCACCAAGUAUUCCAAGAAUUUUCUUAAUAGAGGAUGUAGCCGGUAGAAGAUGAAGUAUCAGAAAUUUACGAACCUACUACGAUCAUCAGCAACCUAUAAGAAGAUCAUUCUAACGAUAAGGAGGUACUAGUUUAAUUUGUUACAGUUUGGAUAAGCAAAGAGCAGUUUGAACUUGUCACGGUAGGUAAGUAAGUACCUACUACUUUAUAUCGUCACACAUUUCUAUUGAACUGGUUUACUGUACUGUUUCCAUUUUCUUACGAAUCACGUAAUAAUCAUUUGUCCAACUUAUUGUUGCGCAAAACACGAACGAACGGUCAAGAAUACGAAAUAAGGACCAGUCGUUGAUGUCUCCAAAUUAUUAUGCACUCGAGAACUUGAUUAUCCGGUGCCCAGUCGAAUCUGAACUUUCUUGAACAGUAACGGAAAGAUACGAAAUAAGUUUUCAAGUCCUACAUUAUUUUAUGCAUGAAGAAAUUGAUGAAGGUUCCUUUAAGGUAACUUUAUUGAUGUAUCUUUUUAAUUAUUUAAAGGACACAGUGUUAUUUAUAUUAUAAAUACUUUAUCAUUAUUUUUUUUACUUGCUAUGCAAAUAAAACUAGUAAGUUUGGAGUACAAUGAACGAUUAAGGAAUUGCGGUUCGUUGAAUGGUACUAUGAAGAGCCGUUACAUGACAACCUGCGAUUUUCCUUAAUUUGUUCAUCCACCGUAAUUACCCCGCUAUUACGUUGUCCACGUAAUAACAGCUUUUUUGUUAGUAUUGUUUCUUUUUAACUUGCGAGAUUGUGAGAAUUAUACAUAUACUUAUAAUGAUACUUCUAUCAUUUGUAAUUAAAGUAUUAUCUACACGUUUAACGGUACGUUGACCGAUGGAAACGAAAAGUGGUAGUUCCGCGAAUAAAUGGAAGACAAUUAUUAUUAUUAUUAGGUGUACUCCAACGUUGGGCGUUACUCGAAUAAUUAUUUUAUUUAAGACUGAUUCAAACGAUGGGAAUGCAUGUUAUUUCACUAUCAAUAUUAAAUACAAUUUUAUACCGUAAGCAUUUGUUCCAGAUUACUGUCUAUAUUUUAAAGACGGGGGAGGUAGGAGAACCAAAAUUGCUUGUAUGGUUCGUUAUUAUAUCGUGUAUUUCCUUUCACAUCGAGUGCACCGUUACCGAUAUCACCUUACAAUUCUCUUUUUCCUUCUUUUCAUACAAAAAAGAUGAUUCAAUGAUCAACGUCGCUACAUUAAUUUUGUCGUUCGUCAGUAAUUGUCAUUACACGUAAUUUCAUAGAUAUAAUACAUAUAUCUUUAUCUUUAGCAUAACUUCUUCUCUUUAAAGUGAAUAUCAUACAAAAUCUAAGACUAUACGUAAUUUAACCUUAAUUCCUUGUUAUAUAUAAACAUAAUGUAGUAAUGUAAUAUGCGGCGGUGGUUCUAUCUUAUUCUCCUUAAUGUUUAAAGUAAUUUACAAAAGUCUUGUUUGUCGUAGACAACGAGUAUCGUUGGAGACGGCGGCGAUAGGCCCUGUUUUUAGAGCAUAUGGUAAUUGCCAAUUUGAACUUUGCCGCGUAUCAUUGUUCGCGGAUGCGCGCGCGCAAUUACACUCGCUACGCGAACCAUUUCCGGUUGCUUCAGCACCGUUCAACACAGUGGAUGCGAAAUUUAAAGCGGCGAACCCCGUUUCAGUGUUAAAUUCGACGUAAAUUCAAACGCGGUUAGUUAAAAAAUACGUUAAAAGGUAUAUUUAUAUACAAAACAAAAGGAUACGCUACCAGGUUAGUGCUUAAUAUGUUAAUCUAAAAAACGACGUUCGACAGAAAUCUUUUUUCUCUCGGAAUAUAAUGGUGUAUAAUUGUCUUAGCAAAAGAUUAUCAAGAUAUUUGCGCGUUAACCUCUAAUACUUUUGCAUGAUUAUUAAUAUCAUAUUUUUGUAAUCAUUUCUUUUGUGCAAUACGUAUAAAUAACUAUUUCGGUAUAAUUUUCAUUUGAAAAAAUAGGCCGAAAUGUACUUUGUUUUCCGAAUUUAUCGUUUAAAGUUGAGUAUUGGUACAUGAAAGAUUUAAAAUGGAGCCAGAAGUGAACUCAGACUCGCAUGCUCUAUCGUUCGAAGUAUGCAAAUUAUUUAAAAUAUACAUUGUAAGCACAAAUUAAAAUUUCAGUACACUAAAUGUUAAAUCACGACGAUUCAUAGCACAUUUUUUUUCUUUUUUUUUUUCCUUUUUUUGUUAAACAUAGAGCCUUAACGAAACCUACGUGUUUGUACAUAACAUGUAGUACGACACGUUAUGUCUAUUUGAUGAUAAUCAUCAAAUAAGUAACAUUAAUUUAACAAGUCUAUACACGUCACUGAUAAUAUAAGAUAAUAUAUAUAUAUAUAUUUUUUUUAUUGCUACGCUUAUGGAGUAAGCAAUUUCAUUAAAAGUUGAUACAAAGUCGCAACGAUAAUAAACUAAUCAUAAUGAAUACUUUCGGUAAUAUUUUUCUGUAGUAUUCUUCUAGCGUGUCGUUCGAGUUUGUUUUACUCGUAGUUACAACUUCGCAGCUGAGCAAAGUUAUUAGAAAUAUAAAACAACGUGCAUAUAUAGGGUGCCCGAUUUUAAUUUAUAAAUGGAUCUUUUUUUUACUGUUUUACAUUAAUAGAUAGUCAAGAUUAAAGUUUCAUUAUUUCUCAACAUUUUUUCUUUUAAUAAUCGUUGUGUUUCGGUCACCCUGUAUAUAUUCGUAAGAACGUAACUGUCUUUUUGCUAAAGUGUUGUGCAAUUUAAAAAGCAGAAGUCGCUACACGUGAUUUUGUAAUGCUAACCGGUAAUUACACUGAAAAAGUAAUACAUAAUACGUACAUCGUAUCGGUCAAAAUCGGUGAUAUCGUAAAAUAUCGAUAUUUCAACAUCAUGCAAUGACCACUCACUUUUCGAUAAUGUUACGCUUCAUAAUUACAAAACUUAAUGAGCUUUUUUUAUCAGUUACAAUCAAACAGUUACUCUGUUUGCAAGUGAAUGUGCGAUAAAACACGCAACGUUAAGAUUAUCAAAUUACUUUCAUUCUAACGCUUAGGAGAUAGGAAUAUCAAGCUGGUACAAAAUCUGUAAAAAUUGAAGUAUAUCAGUAUCAAAUGUAGGUUUUUAGAAGUUACCGAAAUUAAUGAUAAAUUGAAAUUACAAGAUAUAAAAGUACAAUAUUGAUUUUUAUAAAAACUGGUCUCUGUUGCCAGUUGUACAAAAAGGAUUGUAAUUCGUCACAUCUUAAACUCAUCAGUCGCAUAGAAUAUCACAGGAACGUUAGUAGGUGCCAUUGGAUUUGUGUAUAUUAAAAACUACAUUGCCCAUGUAUGCAUUGAAUGAAUAUAGAACGAUAAAAAGAACUUUAAAUUUCAUUAUUAAGGCAAUACUCCACAAACAAACACACACACGCGCGCGCGCGCGCGACACGCACAAGCACACUGUACAAUAAAAUAAUUCGAACCUAUCCUUGUGCAAUAAAAACUUCCAGCAAUGGACAGACAAAGCAUGAUUAAAAUAAAAUUGUAAGCACAAAUGUAAGAAUGCCCUUGAUAAUUCUCCUUACCCGGUAUCUUUUAAAAUCUUAUUUUUUAUAUUAAAAUAGUAAAUGAAUUUUAAUAGCAAAUAUUUUAACUUGCAAAAUAAACUGCAACAUCGAGUAAUUAUUAUUAUUAUUAUUAUUAUUAUUUUUAAGUGUAAUAAGUUUGUGCUGCUAAAAUUAUCAUUUGCAUUUAAUGAUGACAAUUUUCUUUUUGUACACAAAUUUAUUUCAAUUUCAUAUUUUAUAAUUCAUUGCCAAGUGCAGCACAAUCAUAUUCACAAUAUCAUACCUCUUUGCUAUGGCAAUAGUGUAAUUUACAAAAUUCUAUGCUAGCUCGUUCGGUUACUCUACUUAAUGCUAUUGUUUCUCUCGGUACUAGGGCAAAUUUAGCAUUGAAUGGCAUCUUUAAUGUAACAAGUGACAGAUACAUUAUCAGUCACCUUUUUCUGGGCACAGCAUAGUAUUUAAUACAUUCUACUUGAAUUAUUAUCCAUGAAAAAACCGCCGUCUCCACAUUACUUCUUAUGAAUCGCCUAGGUAUUACAAGAAACGCGUCACGCACUCGUUCUUACAGGGCACGCUGUAUUAUUUGCGCUAUAUCUUCCUGAUCCAGUUACAUAAAGCCAUUUACCUCGAAAUGAAUUAAAGUUAAUUACAGAUUGUUAAUCAAUGAAAUUUUAAGAACUACGAUUUUGAUUUAAAUAGAAAACUAACAUAGUAACACAGCCCGAUGCAAUAAUAAUGUGUGCCUUUGUAAUGUUUACCUUUUUCUGUGAGAGAAUGGCAAACCUCGAGACUGCCAUUAACUUUAACUUGUAUCUGAGGUAUUUCCACAUUAUUAAUAAUAGCACGUUUGCACUUUACGAAAUAAUAAAAAGAGUACACAUGCUAUUCAUUUGAAACUUUGUUUUUCUUUUUUUCUUGGAUCAUAUAAGAAUCCUUGUCAUGGCAAAAAUAAAAAAAAUUAUAUAGAUUAAUUCACAACAAUACUUUUAAUCUUUCUAAUUAAUACACUGGUUGUAAAAAUGUUCGGUGUAUCUAUAUACACAUCCUAAAUCGAGAAGUUGCGUAACAAGAACAACACAUGUAAUUAAUUAUAAAAAAAUUCGAUUAUAAAAUUAGCAAUUGUAUAUACUCUAGUACGAGUGUUUAUACAAUCACUACAUUUAUUGUUCUGAGUUAUGCAUUUCCAUGUUCAUAAUGUAGAUAUCAGCUGUAUAAAAAUUUAAAACAAUUACUAAUUCUGUCUGAACUCUUGUUAAAUAAUAAAAUCGCAAUUAUCAUAUAUCGCAGAUCGUAUAAAUAACAGUUAUUGUUUCAUUAUUCAAACAUCACUUAUUCUCUCACUAGUAGCAAUAUAAUAUAAAUUAAAACGGAUAGGUUUACUACAAGUAAGGCGCUAUACUUGUAAAUUGUUACUUUAAAAAGUAUAAAAAAUUCAUAAGGUUACUUUUGAUAGAUAUAAUUGUGCGUGUCCAUAGUAUUUUCAAAAAAUUUUGUACACAAUAAACUACGACACAAAAUGUUUAGGAAUUUCCACCAUACGUAUAAUUUAGUCUACCGACCAAAUUCAUCGUAAACGAAUAUUCAAUGCAAAUAAAAGAUAAUGCGAUGAUAAUAAAUUGUAAUAUCACAAAAUUAUAUUGAAUUCUAUAUAUACAAUAUAUAUGUAAAAGUUUUGCUGUUUGAAAAAAAAAAACAAAAACAAAAAAGGUAUAAAAUAUGUUUAAAAUAUUCCCAUUUAACCAUUGUACACACUGUAUUACAACCAGUGAAAUUAGAUGAACAUGUUAAUUAAAAUAUUUGUUAAGAAUGAGAUGUUUAGUUAAAAGCAUUAGAUUCUGUAAAAAUAUAAAUUUCAUACAAAAACUUGAAUAGGCGGAAAUUCUUAGGCACUUUGUACCUUUUCAGAGCGUUCAGAAAUAUAACAAUUGUUUGUGUAAUGAUUAGCAUAAAACAAAUAUUGUUACACUGCUUGAUUAAUACGUAAGCAACAGUGACAGGCGAUGAUAAUGAUUUCAAUUACAGACGGAGCAUAUGUUCGUCUCUUACAUAUCUAUCAAUUAUAUAACAUAAUCGAAGCGUAAACUAGCAACUAAUUAAUUAAUUCUCCCGAUUGGAGUGAACCGGUUAUACACACAUGUACAUCAAGUAGGGAUGUGCAUUAGCACGAUAAUGGAAUGAAGAAAAUUGAUACGGAAAGGAAAGAAAAAAAUCUGGCUGACCGAUGCGAUGCGUAAAUCAAAAUUUAUAAUAUGAUUGUCCCCUGGCCAUAAGUGAAUGGCUUAGCAGCGCACGUGCCGGAGUUAAAACUUGACUAGAAAUGAACGAGCGUGCGAAGAAAAUGUAACGUAUUGAUUUCGUAAUUAUUUUACUUCAAAAAAGAUUCCAUUUUUUCUUUCCUUAUUCAUAUUAAUCUCAUUAACUUGUGUUCGUUUCUCAUCUCAGCAUUUCAUCCACCGUGAAUAUUAAUAGUUAUAGGUAGUUCUUACUACUUUCUUUCUUUUCUUCUUCUUCUUCUUCUUUUUUUUUUUUUUUUUUUUUUUAAACAUAAAAAUUAUGUU